rnacentral:rRNA from 1 species
UACGGAGGGGGCUAGCGUUGUUCGGAAUUACUGGGCGUAAAGCGCACGUAGGCGGCUCGGCAAGUCAGAGGUGAAAUCCCCAGGCUCAACCUGGGAAUUGCCUUUGAUACUGCCGAGCUAGAGGCCGGGAGAGGGUAGUGGAAUUCCCAGUGUAGAGGUGAAAUUCGUAGAUAUUGGGAAGAACACCGGUGGCGAAGGCGGCUACCUGGACCGGUACUGACGCUGAGGUGCGAAAGCGUGGGGAGCAAACAGGAUUAGAAACCCCGGGUAGUCC